UUCUUCGGGGCAGGGUGAGAUUCCCUACCGGCGGUAGAGUCCGCGACCCGCAUAUGCGGUUGAUCCGGUGUGAUUCCGGAACCGACAGUUACAGUCUGGAUGAGAGAAGAUG
rnacentral:ncRNA from 1 species